UCCGGCUUAUCACCGGCAGUUUCAUUAAAGUGCCCAGCCAAACCUGAUGGCAACUAAUGAUGAGGGUUGCGCUCGUUGCGGGACUUAACCCAACAUCUCACGACACGAGCUGACGACAGCCAUGCAGCACCUGUGUGGAAUCCGGCCGAACCGACAGGAACCAUCUCUGGUCCCCUUAAUUCCCAUGUCAAGAGCUGGUAAGGUUUUUCGCGUUGCUUCGAAUUAAACCACAUACUCCACCGCUUGUUCGAGCCCCCGUCAAUUCCUUUGAGUUUUAAUCUUGCGACCGUACUCCCCAGGCGGAGCGCUUAAUGCGUUAGCUGCGACACUGAUGGAUUCCUCCACCAACAUCUAGCGCUCAUCGUUUACAGCGUGGACUAC
rnacentral:misc_RNA from 1 species